rnacentral:rRNA from 1 species
UACAGAGGUCUCAAGCGUUGUUCGGAAUUACUGGGCGUAAAGCGCGUGUAGGCGGCUAAGUAAGUCGGGCGUGAAAUCCCUGGGCUCAACCCAGGAACUGCGUCCGAUACUGGUUGGCUUGAAUCCGGGAGAGGGAUGUGGAAUUCCAGGUGUAGCGGUGAAAUGCGUAGAUAUCUGGAGGAACACCGGUGGCGAAGGCGACAUCCUGGACCGGUAUUGACGCUGAGGCGCGAAAGCCAGGGGAGCAAACGGG